rnacentral:rRNA from 1 species
GACGAACGCUGGCGGCGUGCUUAACACAUGCAAGUCGAACGGAAAGGCCCUGCUUUUGUGGGGUGCUCGAGUGGCGAACGGGUGAGUAACACGUGAGUAGCCUGCCCUUGACUUUGGGAUAACUUCAGGAAACUGGGGCUAAUACCGGAUAGGAGCUCCUGCUGCAUGGUGGGGGUUGGAAAGUUUCGGCGGUUGGGGAUGGACUCGCGGCUUAUCAGCUUGUUGGUGGGGUAGUGGCUUACCAAGGCUUUGACGGGUAGCCGGCCUGAGAGGGUGACCGGCCACAUUGGGACUGAGAUACGGCCCAGACUCCUACGGGAGGCAGCAGUGGGGAAUAUUGCACAAUGGGCGGAAGCCUGAUGCAGCAACGCCGCGUGCGGGAUGACGGCCUUCGGGUUGUAAACCGCUGUCGCCUGUGACGAAGCGUGAGUGACGGUAAUGGGUAAAGAAGCACCGGCUAACUACGUG